rnacentral:rRNA from 1 species
CGGACGGGUGAGUAAUGUCUGGGAAACUGCCCGAUGGAGGGGGAUAACUACUGGAAACGGUAGCUAAUACCGCAUAACGUCGCAAGACCAAAGAGGGGGACCUUAGGGCCUCUUGCCAUCGGAUGUGCCCAGAUGGGAUUAGCUAGUAGGUGGGGUAACGGCUCACCUAGGCGACGAUCCCUAGCUGGUCUGAGAGGAUGACCAGCCACACUGGGACUGAGACACGGUCCAG